GUUUCGUUGGCCCAAAAUGGUUAGAGCGUCCGUUUCGGAUGCGAGAGGUCAUGGGUUCGAUUCCCGGUCGAGUCA